UUGAGAGUUUGAUCCUGGCUCAGAACGAACGCUGGCGGCAGGCUUAACACAUGCAAGUCGAGCGCCCCGCAAGGGGAGCGGCAGACGGGUGAGUAACGCGUGGGAACGUGCCCUUCUCUACGGAAUAGUCCCGGGAAACUGGGUUUAAUACCGUAUACGCCCUUCGGGGGAAAGAUUUAUCGCCUUUGGAUCGGCCCGCGUUAGAUUAGAUAGUUGGUGGGGUAACGGCCUACCAAGUCUACGAUCUAUAGCUGGUUUUAGAGGAUGAUCAGCAACACUGGGACUGAGACACGGCCCAGACUCCUACGGGAGGCAGCAGUGGGGAAUAUUGGACAAUGGGCGAAAGCCUGAUCCAGCAAUGCCGCGUGAGUGAUGAAGGCCUUAGGGUUGUAAAGCUCUUUUACCCGGGAUGAUAAUGACAGUACCGGGAGAAUAAGCCCCGGCUAACUCCGUGCCAGCAGCCGCGGUAAUACGGAGGGGGUUAGCGUUGUUCGGAAUUACUGGGCGUAAAGCGCGCGUAGGCGGACUGGAAAGUUGGGGGUGAAAUCCCAGGGCUCAACCCUGGAACUGCCUCCAAAACUAU
rnacentral:rRNA from 1 species